UGUUAGGAAGAUGAAAUGGUUACAUGUCAGACUCAUAUUCUGAAUCUAGUAGGUUCGAUUCCUACUCCUAAUAA
rnacentral:tRNA from 1 species